rnacentral:rRNA from 1 species
GACGAACGCUGGCGGCGCGCCUAACACAUGCAAGUCGAACGGAGUUACUCUGAAUGAAGUUUUCGGAUGGAUUUUGGAUUAACUUAGUGGCGAACGGGUGAGUAACGCGUGAGUAACCUGCCCCUGGAGUGGGGGACAACGAGUUGGAAACGACUGACUAAUACCGCAUAAAGCCCCACAGUGCCCGCAUGGCACAGCGGGAAAAGGAUUUAUUCGCUUCAGGAUGGACUCGCGUCCAAUUAGCUAGUGUGAGUAACGCCACCAAGGCGACGAUUGUAGCGGACUGAGAGUUGAACGGCCACAUUGGGACUGAGACACGG